rnacentral:snRNA from 1 species
UGAAUGAACGUGUCCAGUCG